GCCGCGUUAGCUCAGCUGGUAGAGCAGCGCUCUUGUAAAGCGAAGGUCGUGGGUUCAAAUCCCUCACGCGGCACCA
rnacentral:tRNA from 1 species